rnacentral:tRNA from 1 species
GGUUGUAGCUCAGUGGUAGAGUGCUUGCCCUGCAUGCAUCGUAGGCCCUGGGUUCAAUCCUCAACAUCA